AGCUUUGCGCAGUGGCAGUAUCGUAGCCAAUGAGGUUUAUCCGAGGCGCGAUUAUUGCUAAUUGAGUAGAUGUGAGUAGAAUUAUUCUUUUUUUCCACCAUAAAAAUGAGUGACUAUUAUUUAGAGCAAUGAGUUCCUC